rnacentral:rRNA from 1 species
CAGGGGGGGAUGGCUUACACAUGGGCAGUCGAACGGAAACGAUACUAGCUUGCUAGUAGGCGUCGAGUGGCGGACGGGUGAGUAACGCGUAGGAAUCUGCCUGAUAGUGGGGGAUAGCCCGGAGAAAUUCGGAUUAAUACCGCAUAAUCUAUUCGUAGUAAAGUGGGGGACUUUCGAGCCUCACGCUAUCAGAUGAGCCUGCGUAAGAUUAGCUAGUUGGUAGGGUAAAAGCCUACCAAGGCGACGAUCUUUAGCUGGUCUGAGAGGAUGAUCAGCCACAUCGGGACUGAGACACGGCCCGAACUCCUACGGGAGGCAGCAGUGGGGAAUAUUGGACAAUGGGGGCAACCCUGAUCCAGCAAUACCGCGUGUGUGAAGAAGGCCUGAGGGUUGUAAAGCACUUUCAAUUGUGAAGAAAAGUUAGCGGUUAAUAACCGUUAGCCUUGACGUUAACUUUAGAAGAAGCACCGGCUAACUCCGUGCCAGCAGCCGCGGUAAUACGGAGGGUGCAAGCGUUAAUCGGAAUUACUGGGCGUAAAGCGUGCGUAGGCGGUUUAUUAAGUCAGAUGUGAAAGCCCCGGGCUUAACCUGGGAACUGCAUUUGAAACUGGUAAACUAGAGUAUGGUAGAGGAAAGUGGAAUUUCUGGUGUAGCGGUGAAAUGCGUAGAUAUCAGAAGGAACAUCAAUGGCGAAGGCAGCUUUCUGGACCAAUACUGACGCUGAGGUACGAAAGCGUGGGUAGCAAACAGGAUUAGAUACCCUGGUAGUCCACGCCGUAAACGAUGAUAACUAGCCGUUGGGGGGAUUUACCCUUUAGUGGCGAAGCUAACGCGUUAAGUUAUCCGCCUGGGGAGUACGGCCGCAAGGUUAAAACUCAAAGGAAUUGACGGGGACCCGCACAAGCGGUGGAGCAUGUGGUUUAAUUCGAUGCAACGCGAAGAACCUUACCUGGUCUUGACAUCCUGCGAACUUUCUAGAAAUAGAUUGGUGCCUUCGGGAACGCAGUGACAGGUGCUGCAUGGCUGUCGUCAGCUCGUGUCGUGAGAUGUUGGGUUAAGUCCCGUAACGAGCGCAACCCCUAUCCUUAUUUGCCAGCACAUCAUGGUGGGAACUAUAAGGAGACUGCCGGUGAUAAACCGGAGGAAGGCGGGGACGACGUCAAGUCAUCAUGGCCCUUACGACCAGGGCUACACACGUGCUACAAUGGGAAGGACAAAGAGCCGCGAAGCCGCGAGGUGUAGCUAAUCUCAUAAACCUUUUCGUAGUCCGGAUUGGAGUCUGCAACUCGACUCCAUGAAGUCGGAAUCGCUAGUAAUCGUAGAUCAGAAUGCUACGGUGAAUACGUUCCCGGGUCUUGUACACACCGCCCGUCAUACCAUGGGAGUGGGUUGCACCANGAAGUGGCUAGUCUAACUUAGUGAGGACGGUCACCCANCCGGUGGAUUCACG